rnacentral:rRNA from 1 species
AGCGAACGCUGGCGGCAGGCUUAACACAUGCAAGUCGAACGGGUACUUCGGUGCUAGUGGCAGACGGGUGAGUAACACGUGGGAACGUACCUUUCGGUUCGGAAUAAUUCAGGGAAACUUGGACUAAUACCGGAUACGCCCUUCGGGGGAAAGAUUUAUCGCCGAAAGAUCGGCCCGCGUCUGAUUAGCUAGUUGGUGAGGUAAUGGCUCACCCAGGCGACGAUCAGUAGCUGGUCUGAGAGGAUGAUCAGCCACAGUGGGACUGAGACACGGCCGAAACUCCUACGGGAGGCUGUAGUGGGGACUAUUGGACAAUGGGCGCAAGCAUGAUCCAGCCAUGCCGCGUGAGUGAUAAAGGCCUUAGGGUUGUAAAGCUCUUUUGUCCGGGAAGAUAAUGACUGUACCGGAAGAAUAAGCCCCGGCUAACUUCGUGCCAGCCGCCGCGGUAA